rnacentral:rRNA from 1 species
AGAGUUUGAUCCUGGCUCAGGACGAACGCUGGCGGCGUGCUUAACACAUGCAAGUCGAGCGGUAAGGCUCCUUCGGGAGUACACGAGCGGCGAACGGGUGAGUAACACGUGAGCAAUCUGCCCUUCACAUCGGGAUAACUUCGGGAAACCGGAGCUAAUACCGGAUACGACUACAGACGGCAUCGUCAGUAGUGGAAAGUUCCGGCGGUGAAGGAUGAGCUCGCGGCCUAUCAGCUAGUUGGUGAGGUAACGGCUCACCAAGGCUUCGACGGGUAGCCGGCCUGAGAGGGUGACCGGCCACACUGGGACUGAGACACGGCCCAGACUCCUACGGGAGGCAGCAGUGGGGAAUAUUGGACAAUGGGCGAAAGCCUGAUCCAGCAACGCCGCGUGAGGGAUGACGGCCUUCGGGUUGUAAACCUCUUUCAUCCACGACGAAGCGAGAGUGACGGUAGUGGAAGAAGAAGCACCGGCCAACUACGUGCCAGCAGCCGCGGUAAUACGUAGGGUGCAAGCGUUGUCCGGAAUUAUUGGGCGUAAAGGGCUCGUAGGCGGUCUGUCGCGUCGGGAGUGAAAACUCAGGGCUCAACCCUGAGCGUGCUUCCGAUACGGGCAGACUAGAGGUAGGUAGGGGAGAAUGGAAUUCCUGGUGUAGCGGUGGAAUGCGCAGAUAUCAGGAGGAACACCAGUGGCGAAGGCGGUUCUCUGGGCCUUACCUGACGCUGAGGAGCGAAAGCAUGGGGAGCAAACAGGAUUAGAUACCCUAGUAGUCC